rnacentral:misc_RNA from 1 species
UGGUUCUGGCAUCGAUGAAGAACGCAGCGAAAUGCGAUAAGUAAUGUGAAUUGCAGAAUUCAGUGAAUCAUCGAAUCUUUGAACGCACAUUGCGCCCGCCAGUAUUCUGGCGGGCAUGCCUGUUCGAGCGUCAUUUCAACCCUCGAGCCCCGCCGUCAAAGGCGCGCGGCCCGGCGUUGAGGAACGGCGACACGGGGCGGGGGGCACUUAGCUGCCCCGCCGACGACGCCGUCCUCGAAAUUCAGUGGCGGCCCGUCGCGGCGACCUCUGCGUAGUAAUUUUACACCUCGCACCGGUAGAAGCGACGCGGCCACUGCCGUAAAACACCCAACUUUCCAAGGUUGACCUCGAAUCAGGUAGGACUACCCGCUGA